rnacentral:tRNA from 1 species
UCAAAUCUUUUGUUUAAUGCAGGAUAAAGAGUUUAAGAUUGAUACAGUGACUGUAAUGGAUUUUUUAC